UCAUGAUAGUAUAACAAAAUCUAAAAAUAAUAAAAAUUACAUCCAAAUUCAAAGACCACCUAACGACGAUUACAAGCAUUGAAGCGAGCCGAAGACGCGCCGUUGUCAUUGCUCCUUCCUCGUUGGAGUCAGACAAACGUUGUUGUAAUAGACAGUCGGGAAGCCGUCGUGCUAAGGCCCCAUAGACCAACACACCAGAACAUCAACCGUCGUAGAUGAAGAGUGUAGAUCGGAAUUAUCCAACCUAAAAGCACACGAACAAAGACGAACGACGAACAAAUCCGAGCAAAUUCAUCAAAGAUAGAUUCACCGAAGACACACCUCCACACGUCCAUCAACGAUGCUAGGCGCAUCACCGAAACGGAGGCUGGACGGGGAGAACUUUAUUUCUUCUUCAAAAAGCCGUCAUCAUCUUGACUUUUUAAACAGAACGACGAAUUUCUGGUUUCUCAUUAGGGAUGCUUCUUCUAUAUCAAUAAACCAUGGGUGCUAGUGCCCAUGGAGUUUCAUUUUUUUAAACAGAACAUAAAUCCUAACGAAACUUAAAAGAAAAUCUAAAAACGAAACCCUUACACCAGCAAAAGCCGAGAUUCACUCCGUCUCCAUGAUCCUAAGACCAUCGGUGACGGGAUGGACAAGUGGCCACGCCUACGGAAGGCGGUGGAACCCUAGCUAUUUUGGAGCGGCGGCUACGUUUAGACAAGGCGGCCGGUGCGAGGACGCUGCUCUAAAGUGCUCGUGACUGAACGCUAGCAGGAAAAAUGGACUCUGCAAAUCGAUCCUUUCCUUUCGUCUUAUGAAUAUUGGAG
rnacentral:lncRNA from 1 species